GACGAACGUUGGCGGCGUGCUUAAUACAUGCAAGUCAACUGAAGCAGUGGUAGCAAUAUCGCUGUGGAGGUGGCGCACGGGUGAGUAACACGUAGGUAAUCUGCCUUCAGGUCUGGCAUAACUCCGGGAAACCGGGGCUAAUAGCAGAUGAUGCAGCGGCUCGACAUCGAGACAGUUGUUAAAGCUAUGGCGCCUGAAGAUGAGCCUGCGUCUGAUUAGCUAGUUGGCGGGGUAACGGCCCACCAAGGCAACGAUCAGUAGCUGGUCUGAGAGGAUGAUCAGCCACACUGGAACUGAGACACGGUCCAGACUCCUACGGGAGGCAGCAGUAAGGAAUAUUGCUCAAUGGGAGAAAUCCUGAAGCAGCAACGCCGCGUGAGGGACGAAGGGCUUUUGCUUGUAAACCUCUGUAGUGAGAGAAAAAAUCCCAAUCUUUGGGACAUGAUGGUAUCUCAAAAGUAAGCCCCGGCUAACUACGUG
rnacentral:rRNA from 1 species